rnacentral:rRNA from 1 species
UGGUGGAGUGAUUUGUCUGGUUAAUUCCGUUAACGAACGAGACCUUAACCUGCUAAAUAGUAACCAAAGACUUCUACAAAACAUGGUGGGGUUUAGGGUGAAGUUUCGAUGGAUCCCGACACCUUAUCAUGUGGAUGUCUUUUGGGUUUUUACUUCUUAGAGGGACUAUCUGUAUUAAAGCAGAUGGAAGUUUGAGGCAAUAACA